GGCGGGUUGGCAGAAUGGCUAUGCAGCGGAUUGCAAAUCGGUGGAUCUCGGUUCGACUCCGGGACCCGCCU
rnacentral:tRNA from 1 species